CCUGCGGAGGGAUCAUUACCGAGUUUACAACUCCCAAACCCAAUGUGAACGUUACCAAACUGUUGCCUCGGCGGGAUCUCUGCCCCGGGUGCGUCGCAGCCCCGGACCAAGGCGCCCGCCGGAGGACCAACCAAAACUCUUAUUGUAUACCCCCUCGCGGGUUUUUUUAUAAUCUGAGCCUUCUCGGCGCCUCUCGUAGGCGUUUCGAAAAUGAAUCAAAACUUUCAACAACGGAUCUCUUGGUUCUGGCAUCGAUGAAGAACGCAGCGAAAUGCGAUAAGUAAUGUGAAUUGCAGAAUUCAGUGAAUCAUCGAAUCUUUGAACGCACAUUGCGCCCGCCAGUAUUCUGGCGGGCAUGCCUGUCCGAGCGUCAUUUCAACCCUCGAACCCCUCCGGGGGGUCGGCGUUGGGGAUCGGCCCUGCCUUGGCGGUGGCCGUCUCCGAAAUACAGUGGCGGUCUCGCCGCAGCCUCUCCUGCGCAGUAGUUUGCACACUCGCAUCGGGAGCGCGGCGCGUCCACAGCCGUUAAACACCCAACUUCUGAAAUGUUGACCUCGGAUCAGG
rnacentral:rRNA from 1 species